GAUGAACGCUGGCGGCGUGCCUAAUACAUGCAAGUCGAGCGAACAGACGAGGAGCUUGCUCCUCUGACGUUAGCGGCGGACGGGUGAGUAACACGUGGAUAACCUACCUAUAAGACUGGGAUAACUUCGGGAAACCGGAGCUAAUACCGGAUAAUAUAUUGAACCGCAUGGUUCAAUAGUGAAAGACGGUUUUGCUGUCACUUAUAGAUGGAUCCGCGCCGCAUUAGCUAGUUGGUAAGGUAACGGCUUACCAAGGCAACGAUGCGUAGCCGACCUGAGAGGGUGAUCGGCCACACUGGAACUGAGACACGCUCCAGCCUCCUACGGGAGGCAGCAGUAGGGAAUCUUCCGCAAUGGGCGAAAGCCUGACGGAGCAACGCCGCGUGAGUGAUGAAGGUCUUCGGAUCGUAAAACUCUGUUAUUAGGGAAGAACAAAUGUGUAUGUAACUAUGCACGUCUUGACGGUACCUAAUCAGAAAGCCACGGCUAACUACGUG
rnacentral:rRNA from 1 species